GACGAACCGUGCAAACGUUGUUCGGAUUCACUGGGCUUAAAGGGCGCGUAGGCGGGUGGUCAAGUCAGGGGUGAAAUCUUUCAGCUUAACUGGAAAAUAGCUUCUGAUACUGGCCGUCUUGAGGGAGGUAGGGGCAUGUGGAACUUCCGGUGGAGCGGUGAAAUGCGUAGAUAUCGGAAGGAACGCCGGUGGCGAAAGCGACGUGCUGGACCUUUUCUGACGCUGAGGCGCGAAAGCCAGGGGAGCAAACGGG
rnacentral:rRNA from 1 species